AUGAACGCUGGCGGCGUGCCUAAUACAUGCAAGUCGCGCGAACAGACGCGGAGCUUGCUCCUCUGACGUUAGCGGCGGACGGGUGAGUAACACGUGGAUAACCUACCUAUAAGACUGGGAUAACUUCGGGAAACCGGAGCUAAUACCGGAUAAUAUAUUGAACCGCAUGGUUCAAUAGUGAAAGACGGUUUUGCUGUCACUUAUAGAUGGAUCCGCGCCGCAUUAGCUAGUUGGUAAGGUAACGGCUUACCAAGGCAACGAGGCGUAGCCGACCUGAGAGGGUGAUCCGCCACACUGGAACUGAGACACGGUCCAGACUCCUACGGGAGGCAGCAGUAGGGAAUCUUCCGCAAUGGGCGAAAGCCUGACGGAGCAACGCCGCGUGAGUGAUGAAGGUCUUCGGAUCGUAAAACUCUGUUAUUAGGGAAGAACAAAUGUGUAAGUAACUAUGCACGUCUUGACGGUACCUAAUCAGAAAGCCACGGCUAACUACGUG
rnacentral:rRNA from 1 species